rnacentral:rRNA from 1 species
AUGAACAACGGUUCUCUUCUGACCGCUUCCACCCCUCGCCCUACGGACAACGCCGAGGUGUUGUCUCAAAAGGCACCGAGCCAAGGGGAGAUGGUCCUGGGGGCGCCUUGCGGCGACUUCCCGGACCCUGGGUACCAAGGGAGCGAGGCUCCUACGGGCUCCGAGUUCGGGCCCCAGCCGGACACUGCGCCGGAACCUCCGAUGGUUCUGGACUCCAGCAGGCGGUCCCCCGUUAAGGAGGGCCAACCAUCCGUGUCGGUGUCCUCUGUCCAUCCAGAGGCACCGGACAACUUGCUGGAAGCGCUUCGCAGCGCUUCCAUCGACGAAGAGCACCGCACUAUCAUGAGCAUGGUGGUUGAAAAGGUUCAGUCCGCCAAAAAUGGACUGACCGAAGCUUGCGCCAGCCUCCUAACAGGCUUUGAGGCUUCGCUGCUGGCCGCUGCCGCACGUACUGCGGAGGUCUCUGCACUGAAGCAGGACCUAGAGCGGUCCGAGACUGAGCUCGGCCUUACCAAGAGGCAGCUCGAGGAGAACAAAGGGGCCACGACCGAAGUGGCGACCCUGAGGAAGGCGUUGGCCAAGGCCGAAGAUAAAGCGGCCAAGGAGCGCAUUGAAUGGGAAAAGCAAGAAGCCCGAGUAGGCGAGGUGCAGCAAGAGCUCGAGGCUCUCGCCAAAAAGCACGAGUCCUUGGAGCUUGACUCUAAGACGCGAGAGUCCGAGCUUGCGUAG